rnacentral:tRNA from 1 species
CAAUAGGAAGCUUGCUUAUCCUUAUGAUGGAUAAAUCAUAUGAUCGUUCUUCUU